GCUCGGUUAGCUCAGUGGUAGAGCACUUCGUUCACACCGAAGGGGUCACUGGUUCAAAUCCUGUACCGAGCACCA
rnacentral:tRNA from 2 species